UUAAAUUGAAGAGUUUGAUCAUGGCUCAGAUUGAACGCUGGCGGCAGGCCUAACACAUGCAAGUCGAGCGGCAGCGGGAAAGUAGCUUGCUACUUUUGCCGGCGAGCGGCGGACGGGUGAGUAAUGCCUGGGGAUCUGCCCAG
rnacentral:rRNA from 1 species